rnacentral:rRNA from 1 species
UACGUAGGUGGCGAACGUUGUUCGGAUUUACUGGGCGUAAAGCGCGCGCAGGCGGACCGAUAAGUCAGAGGUGAAAUCUCCCGGCUCAACUGGGAGGGGCCCUUUGAUACUGUCGGUCUCGAGAUGCCUAGAGGAGAGUGGAAUUCCCGGUGUAGUGGUGGAAUGCGUAGAUAUCGGGAGGAACACCAGUGGCGAAGGCGGAGACCUGGGCCGAUACUGACGCUGAGGUGCGAAAGCGUGGGGAGCAAACAGG